CGGGAAGUAGCUCAGCUUGGUAGAGCCGGUUUGGGACCAAGGGGUCGCAGGUUCGAAUCCUGUCUUCCCGA
rnacentral:tRNA from 1 species